rnacentral:rRNA from 1 species
AUGUAAUGUAAUGCCUAUAAAGUUAGUGCAUUGGAUCCUAUUAGAAAUCCGCAGUUAAGCACACUUGCACUAGAGUAGUUCUGGGAUGGGUGAUCUCCCGGUAAGUCCUAGUAUUUUACAUG